rnacentral:lncRNA from 1 species
GGUUGUGAAGUAGAGUACAAUCUUGUCUUCUGCUUUGGCCUGUGUAGUACUCAGUGCACUAGCGGGCAAAGCUUUCUUGUAAGAAGAGACAAUGAUAGGAUCUAAACCAGACAAGAAAGAUUCUUCAGACAAAUGCUUCCAAAGAGGUUGCUUUGGUUUAUAAGAUAGUGGGACCCAACCAUCUUCUACUUCUUGUUCGACUCUCACGACUUCGUAAGACUCGUCUAGUUUCAAAGCCGACACAUUCGGAUCCGGGUCGGGUUUAGGGAAAAGAUCCGAAUCUAGAUUGGAGAUAGGCUUACCAAGUUUAGGGCUUUCGAAUUCGAACUCGUAAGAUUCGUCAAGUUUCAACGCAGACACAAUCCGAUCCGGGUCGGGUAUAGGGCAAAGAUCCGAAUCUAGACUGGAGAUAGGCUUACCGAGUUUAGGGCAUUCGAAUUCGAAUUCAUCGUCGUCUAAGCCGUCCAUAAGCUCCCACGUGUUGAUGACUGAGUCAGGAGAGAACGAGUCGAGUGAGACCGGGUCUGGACCGGAGAUUGAGAUACGAUCGGAGGCGGUUUUGGAUCCUUCGAGGUCGAUGAGGAGGAGAGAACCGUACGAGGUGGAGGUGAGGGAGACGAGGUGGUGAGUGUCGCCUUUUCUUGCCGGGGGGUGGUGAACCAACGGCGUUGGGAAAGAGAAAGCUCUGUGGAUCGCCGGAGAAGGUGAACUCAUCGUCGUAGAAGAAGCGGUUUUGGAAGCAGAAGAACCCAUUUGAGCCACUGAUGAGGUUUGAAAGUUAGUUUCUGGGUUCUUGAUUGAUGGAGAAGAGAAGAAGAAAGGUAGAGAGAGAGAGAGGUGGAGAAUAGCUGUCUAUGGCAGUUGGAGAUGGUGAGGUUAUUUAAUGGCGGAAGAACGAUAUGGUGGUGUUGAUUUUCCUACAACCAAUUCUCGAUUUGAUUUUGAUUUUGAUUUUGUAAGAAGAAGUUGUCUAUAAGUUGGGCAAUAUUUAUAAUCUAAUUAUUUAAGAUUAGAGGCGAGAACAGAAAUGAAAAAUUAAAUUAAAAUGUCAUUAUCUAUGUAACCACAAUCUUUAUCAUUUUAACUAGGUGCGUAAUUUAAAAUUAAAUAAAUUUUAUUAAAUAUUAUAGAUUUUACUAUUUUCUUACUAAUAUUUAAUAUAGAUUUGAUAUAUAUUAAAUCAAUUUGUAUAAAAUUAAUAAAAAUAAUAUAAAAUUGUAUAAUUAUCAAAUAUUUAACCUAAACAAUAUUUAUAAAAUUUGUAGAUAUAUAAGACUAAUGAUCUUACGAUUAGAUAUUUAAAUUUUAUGAGGGAAAAUAUCAAAAUAUGUAGGAAUUUUUUUUCUAUGGUGCAUGGAAAGAUUUUCCUCAUAUUUUGAUGUUUUAUUUCAUUAUGUGUAAAGUUUUAUUAUUUAUAAAUUAGUCUUUAAAUUUUUUGUAAUUUUGUUUUAUAUAAACUUAUUUUUAUGAGAAAAGGGAAGGCAAUUAUUGGAGAUGCCGUAGUAUGAAAAUUGUGGUGGAAUAGAUGAACAAUAUGAAUAAAAUGUAUAUCUACAAAUGAAAUAUAUUGAAAUGGAAUCAGGUUGUCUUUUCUAUUAUAAACACCAUGUUUGGUAGACUCCAUUAAAAUAUCUAAUCCACCAAGAUAAUAACGUUUUAGCCUCAAUUAGAAGAAUAUAGAAGAGGAACAAGAAGCUAACUGAAAAUUACAAACUAUAACUAGAAAAAACCAGUAUAAAGAAACUGAUGGGAAAAAACAAACAGAAGAAGCAAUAAUUCAAGUCAGGUGAGUUGUUGGCUGGGUCACAUGGGACGCAGGGGGUGGGGGUCAUGGCUUAAUGUGCAUUGAUUCCCUCUCUCUGAUAUUUACAGUUAUGAGUUAUGUCGUCCCUUAAUCAGAUCCAUUAGUUAAAUCAAACAAAGUUAGUAAGACAUACUUAUUAAUUAGUCAUUUUUCAUUGGCGCAUUCAACACCAUAUGAGCAAUGUGAUAUGCUGGCGUGAAAACGAACUCUUAUGUGAAAACGUUAUCAUCUCUCACACACGUUGAAUACUUUGAUAUCAGUUACUACUGUUUGAAUAUUGGCAUGUUCUUUUCGAGGCACACGUUUCUAAUGCAACAUCGCAAGAGAGAUACUCAUAAAUUGAGCCACUGACAAACUCCUUCCAGGCGUGUCCAAAGAUGGUGACCAAUUAUAUAUCACCGGUUUGACCAUCUCCGAACAUUGGUUUACGCCUUUGGCAUUGGUGUUCUCUGCAAUACCCAUAAUCUCUACCUUCUUAAUAUUCUCUCACUAAAUGAAUAAAAUCUUGACUUAGUUUUGGCAGUGGAUUAUUCGUUACAAAGGAUACGAUACUAGGCUGAAGCUCAUUGCUCCAUAGCUGUUGAGCACUCGCUAGAGCCUCCGUCGACGAGCUAGGGUAGCAUUACGAUUUAAUUAUUCAUCUCAACAUAUAUAUAGAACAAUAAACUAUGUACUAGUCAAAACUCGUAAAAGAAAAGGAGGAGAUGUUGGAUCUAGGUCACAUGGGACGCAAUGGUGAUUCAUGUGCUUUGUUUCUUUUUUUAAUUACACACCUCACUUUGUUGCUAUCCGGGUCCGAUCCACAAGCUCUACAAGACAAACCUAAAACCCAUUAUUGUUUUUGUAGUCCUGUACUUUCUUACAUUUAGAGACUACAGUUAUAAUGCCGAUUACUUAGAUUAUUACAAAUUAUAAAAAUUACAAGACAAUUUCAAAGCUGAUAAUUAUGAAUUGUGAAGAUUUAUAUCUGAUUACACCAUCUGGAAUGUCUUAUGAAUUUGAAAAUCUCACAUAAAUAUUUUUCAUUAAUCUGAACAAUUCGUCUUUUCUUAAACUAGUAACUCAAAUCUAUUGAUGCAAAAAACUUAAUGAUUUUUUAAUACAAUCCUUAGACCAUCUCCAAUGGUACUCUAUAAUUUUCUCUAUAUUUCACUCUAAAAUAGAGUAACUCUAUUAUAGAGUUGGAUUUGCUCCAAUGGUUCACUCUAUAAUAGAGUUACUCUAUAAUAGAGUGAAAUAUAGAGUAUUCUUAUUUUUUCACUCUAUAUUUGGAGUAAAAAAAUAAGAUUACUCUAUAUUUCACUCUAUUAUAGAGUAACUCUAUUAUAGAGUGAACCAUUGGAGCAAAUUUAACUCUAUAAUAGAAUUACUCUAUUUUAGUGUAAAUUAUAGAGGAAAAAAUAGAGUGCCCUUGGAGAUGCUCUUACAUCUACUGUUGCUGAAGUAGGCAUAUGGAAGUCCAACACAUUUUAAUCUCUUCACCUUUUUCAGAACAGUAGCUGGCUUUCUGCCUUCUCUAGCCUCUGGUGUUACCAUCAUGAGCGAGACCUGAGACCCUGAAUAUAUAUAUAUAUAUAUAUAUAUCAUUUAAACAGGAACCAAAAGCGGUUUGAGACCCUAUACAGCCUUCUCUUCAGCUCUUUAUUGGGUGAAAUAGCUAAACCAUCAAGCGGUUCACCAAUACUUUCUUAAAAAUGAUGAGACUUUAGUGGAAAGUUAUUCAACUCGUCUGGUAGCCCAACAAAAAGGAUAGAAGAGCAAGUAACAAAAAGGAUAGAAGAGCAACUCUCCUGUCAUGAUAAGACCAAAAUUUACAGCAAUCAAGCAAGACAGCAGACAAUUAUAUUCUAUACAUUGUUCAGAGAGUAACAACACCCACUAAGACAUGAAAGAGAAAAUUCCUCUGUACAAAGAUAAAUUUACUUCAAUUCAAAUUCGUUACGUUAUAACACGACCGAUGAGUGGGGUUGUCCUGAAUAAGAGGUAGACUAAUUGGGAAACCAAUAACAUCUUAGUAAUAAUUAGCUUGCCUUGAAGCCAUUUCUUAUUGUAAUAUACAAAUACUAAACCCAAUACCAAUAAGACUUGUUCACCUCUCACAAUUCAUACAAUCACUCUAAACCCCCUUACACCCACACUUUACUUAGAUACAACACUCAAGACAACGCACCAAUCCAUUCUCAUUGCACUUCGAACACCGCUUGAACAUUUCGUCUUCCUCCUCAAACACUUUAGUACUACCAUCACAGUUGUUACAAGGCACAAACCUUGCAUCACCACAGCUCCUGCAUGUCCCCAAGCAUUCACAAACAGAGAAGCCUUUCAACAUCUCAGCUAACUCGCCGCUAUCGUUUAGCUUCAUAACCUCCUCGACUCCACCAAUGUGGGUAUCCCCGAUAAACACCUGAGGCAAACAAACCGGUUUCUCCGCAUCCCCGAGCGUGCUUUGAAGCUCUUUCCUGUAUUUAGAAUCCAUUGAGAUGUCACGCUCGUCUACAGUCACUUGAAACCCUUUUAAUAUCGUUCUAACGCAACAGCAGUCCUCGUAAGUCUUUCGAAUCCCUCUGAGGGUUGUGAAGUAGAGUACAAUCUUGUCUUCUGCUUUGGCCUGUGUAGUACUCAGUGCACUAGCGGGCAAAGCUUUCUUGUAAGAAGAGACAAUGAUAGGAUCUAAACCAGACAAGAAAGAUUCUUCAGACAAAUGCUUCCAAAGAGGUUGCUUUGGUUUAUAAGAUAGUGGGACCCAACCAUCUUCUACUUCUUGUUCGACUCUCACGACUUCGUAAGACUCGUCUAGUUUCAAAGCCGACACAUUCGGAUCCGGGUCGGGUUUAGGGAAAAGAUCCGAAUCUAAACUUGAG